rnacentral:rRNA from 1 species
AGCAGCCGCCGCGGGAACACCAGCACCUCGAGUGGUCAGGAGGUUUAUUGGGCCUAAAGCAUCCGUAGCCGGUUGCAUAAGUUUUCGGUUAAAUCUAUGCGCUUAACGUAUAGGCCGCCGAAAAUACUGUGCAGCUAGGGAGUGGGAGAGGUACACGGUACUCGAUAGGAAGGGGUAAAAUCCUUUGAUCUAUUGAUGACCACCUGUGGCGAAGGCGGUGUACCAGAACACGUUCGACGGUGAGGGAUGAAAGCUGGGGGAGCAAACCGGAUUAGAUACCCGCGUAGUCCCUGUCUCUUAUAC